rnacentral:rRNA from 1 species
AGUGAACGCUGGCGGUAGGCCUAACACAUGCAGGUCGAACGGCAGCACAGUAAGAGCUUGCUCUUACGGGUGGCGAGUGGCGGACGGGUGAGGAAUACAUCGGAAUCUACUUUUUCGUGGGGGAUAACGUAGGGAAACUUACGCUAAUACCGCAUACGACCUACGGGUGAAAGCAGGGGAUCUUCGGACCUUGCGCGAUUGAAUGAGCCGAUGUCGGAUUAGCUAGUUGGCGGGGUAAAGGCCCACCAAGGCGACGAUCCGUAGCUGGUCUGAGAGGAUGAUCAGACACACUGGAACUGAGACACGGUCCAGACUCCUACGGGAGGCAGCAGUGGGGAAUACUGGACAAUGGGCGCAAGCCUGAUCCAGCCAUACCGCGUGGGUGAAGAAGGCCUUCGGGUUGUAAAGCCCUUUUGUUGGGAAAGAAAAGCAGCAGGUUAAUACCCCGCUGUUCUGACGGUACCCAAAGAAUAAGCACCGGCUAACUUCGUG